rnacentral:tRNA from 1 species
GAGAUGUUAUUAGAAGCUGCUAACUUCUUAAGAGUUAAAAGCUACUCUCA